rnacentral:lncRNA from 1 species
GUUUCCCACGACCUCGGCGCGACGCGCGCGGGAUCCAGUGGAGACUGCUUUCCCAUAGGCCGCCAUCCAGGGCGGGGAAGGGAGCGGACCCUCCCGGCUCCAGGUGCCUGGGCCCCCGGCGGCCUGCGGAGGCCUCGCCCCACGCCACCCGCCCACUGGCCUCGUCUUCGCGCGGGGAGAAAAGCAGCCUGAUUCGGAGGAACGGGUUGCUUGGGGCGGCUCCCAGCUCGAGUUGUGGGCCCCGCCGCGGGUGCCCUUCGGAAACGCGCUGACACCAGGCGAAGCCGCCUCUGCCCGGACGCAGCCCGACACUUGGCCCGCGGGGUUCCCCGGGACGCCUGAGAGUAAUGGGCGCGAGGGGGAAAGCCGAACGGCCUCCCUGUGCCCGGCGCAGGCGGUGCCCCCUAGCUGGGUUCGCCGCGGCGGCGCUGCGAGCCCCCGACACUGAGGACUUUUGGUCCAACAGUCCGACGGGGCCCGGUGCGCCGUUCCCUCCGCCCUCUCCCCGCUCCCCGGCCCGCGCGUCUUGGAGGGUGGGUGAAUUGUCGGAAGCACUCUACGCCUGGCCAACCCAAACCAGGAACCUCCGCACCAAACAGCCCACGUUGCUGCUGCUCUGGGGUUUUAACGGCCAAGGGAGACUGGAGAAGGGGUGUUCUGCCUUCCCAUUCUCUUAGGCCCGUCCACUCCCCAUCCCCACAGUUUGGAAGUGGCCUUUUCUGAGGACUCCAGCGCAAAGCAUGUUUCUCCUUUUGAGCUGCGGAAGCCUUGCUUGUUCCCGCCAUUGGGAGGGCAUUCCAUCAUCUGCAGCUGCCUUCCUCGGUGGGCCUUGUCCCUUAGCGUCCACCUAGGGGACAUUCUAAG